ACCACAGGACCCAAUUAGAGGUCUUGUGGAGUCCAUAGCUUGAGAUCAGAGCUGUUUUUGCAACACGAGUGGGACCUACAUGAUAUUGGUUUAAUGGUUUGAAUGUUGUGACUGAACAGUGUGUUCCUAUAUAGUGUUAGGUAUCCGUGUUUGCUAAUACAAGAGGCAUGGCAUCUGUUGUAUAUCGUGAGUGACAAAUUGAAUACAAACCUGUAUUCCUAAUGCUAUAGUGUCGUCUACCC